CGCCCCGCCUGCCCUUGCGGCUGCUUUGCUUUUGGUUGUGCCACUGGGUGAGGUGGCCCAAACAUGCAAAUUACUGGUACUUUCUCCCUGAAAGCAAUCUUGGCCUGGAAGUAAACACAUGAAGUUGCUGGCAGCCUCCCAGGGGAAGGUCUGUGGUAAUCCUUGACCCUCCCGGGGUUCAAGUAGCAGCGUCAGCCCAAGAGGUGUCAGAAAGACCAUCUCCAGUAUGAUUUUCAUUCUACAAAAGCAAAUGGUGCUCUCUAUGUUGCUGUGCCACUGAAAGAAGCCGAUGGUCCCAAGAUACCACAGACAAGAUGAAAACUCUACAAAAAGUUGACACAUUUCAUUAUAUUUUCAUAAGUUACUGGCUCCUGUGAAUAAUGUUCGCUCAAUACUAACAACUGGAUGUUGGAAGAGAUGAUGAAAUUCUACUAGGAUCCUGGUGGGUUUUACAGGAAAGAAUCUUAUAGUUAAAAAUAUAAAGUGUGUAG
rnacentral:lncRNA from 1 species